rnacentral:misc_RNA from 1 species
GGAAGUGUAAGGUUCAAUUGGUUCAUUUUCCACUCAAAUCAUUUCAUAUAAGGGUGGCCACGGUUCAAGAAUCACCGAUUACGGUUCCUGAACCGCCAGUUCAGGUUCAAUGAAAUUAUAAACCUGAACCAAAUCACUAGGAAACGGUUUGAAAGAUGGUUCCUGGACCACUAGUUUAGGUUCGAGCCCUAGUUUAAAACGGUUUGAAGGGUAGU